rnacentral:lncRNA from 1 species
UGUCUUCUGUUGGUGUUCAGAUGUACUUCAGUUUCUGUGCGCCUUUAUCCUUUUGCCAGUUAGAGUUUUUUCAGAUCCAGAAACUCCGCUGAUAAACAUAGAGAUAUAUUUCAUACACAAUAAUAAGAAUAAUAUUCUAGUUUUUCUUUUCUAAAUUUGGAACUAAGAUGCAAUAGCUUGAUGAGAGCCGAGUAAUGUUGUUGAUAUUUCUGUGAUUAUUGCUGGUGGGGCGAAAAAGGCAUACGUCGUCGUUUCAGUGAACAAAGAACAGAAGAUGUGUAUGAGUGAUUUUGGGUCUUCUUCUUCCUUUCCUUUGUUCUUCGUUCUUCUAUCUUCUAUCAUCCCUCUUUAUUUGGAUAUUAGCUCGAAAAUAAAUCUUAAAAACAUCCAGAUCUGAUUUUGAUCCCUUCAUUAUUUGGAUGUUAGUUCAAAAAUAAAUGUUAAAAAUAUCCAGAUCUGAUUUUGAAGGUGUAAAUUUGUUUUUCAAAAAUAAAAAUUUUCUCAAUCUAGAUCUAGAUUUCUGAUGUACUCAAGAUUUUUUGAUUUGAGAAUAUUGGUUGUGCUUCGAGCCUUCGAUGGUUAGGGAUGCUCUGCCGCAGCCGGUCGAACCGUUUGUGAGUUUGAAGCCGUUAACAGCAACCCAGGCUACGGUCAGAAAGAUGUUGGGGGUUGGAUUCCAUUAGAAAGAAACGUUUCUCUCUCCCUCUCACCCUCCUGAGUUUUGCCUGAAUAACUAACUCUGCUCAAGAAAGCUUAAAAUGUCUCUAACUCGUAUGUAUUUAAUUGUAAAAUUAUGUAAUUGGGUAAACCUCUCCUUUCUAUACCACUUAAUUCGAUGGUGUGUUUGAGAUAGAUAGAUAGAUACAAGCAUUGAAGAUAGGCUAGGCUGAUGGAGAUGUAAAUUUUCUGUAUCCAUGAUGUAUGUAUGUAUGAGAGAUUUUAUUAGUAAUUACUACUUUUAGUUGAAAUAUAACUAUUCAAUUGUCUACAACAACGAAUUCAUCAACAAG